UAGGCUGUAUAUUUUUCAUCUUAGAAAAUGCCAUCCUAAUCACGAAGCAGGACUUCUGUGCCAGUUUAGGAAAUGCACAGCUAAACUUCACGAUCUCAGAUCUCUGGAAUCUCACAUUAGAAAUCAUUCCCAUCGAUCUCAAGCCG